rnacentral:rRNA from 1 species
UUCUUUAUCACCGAGUGCUAGCACUCACCGAUAAAGAGUUGAGUGGCGAACGGGUGAGUAACACGUGGGCAACCUGCCCAAAAGAGGGGGAUAACACUUGGAAACAGGUGCUAAUACCGCAUAACCAUAGUUACCGCAUGGUAACUAUGUAAAAGGUGGCUAUACUACCGCUUUUGGAUGGGCCCGCGGCGCAUUAGCUAGUUGGUAGGGUAAAGGCUUACCAAGGCAAUGAUGCGUAGCCGAAUUGAGAGGUUGAUCGGCCACAUUGGGACUGAGACACGGCCCAAACUCCUACGGGAGGCAGCAGUAGGGAAUCUUCCACAAUGGGCGAAAGCCUGAUGGAGCAACGCCGCGUGGGUGAAGAGGGUCUUCGGAUCGUAAAACCCUGUUGUUAGAGAAGAAAGUGCGUGAGAGUAACUGUUCACGUUUCGACGGUAUCUAACCAGAAAGCCACGGCUAACUACGUGCCAGCAGCCGCGGUAAUACGUAGGUGGCAAGCGUUAUCCGGAUUUAUUGGGCGUAAAGGGAACGCAGGCGGUCUUUUAAGUCUGAUGUGAAAGCCUUCGGCUUAACCGGAGUAGUGCAUUGGAAACUGGGAGACUUGAGUGCAGAAGAGGAGAGUGGAACUCCAUGUGUAGCGGUGAAAUGCGUAGAUAUAUGGAAGAACACCAGUGGCGAAAGCGGCUCUCUGGUCUGUAACUGACGCUGAGGUUCGAAAGCGUGGGUAGCAAACAGGAUUAGAUACCCUGGUAGUCCACGCCGUAAACGAUGAAUGCUAA